rnacentral:rRNA from 1 species
CAAUAGCGUAUAUUAAAGUUGUUGCAGUUAGAACGCUCGUAGUCGGAUUUCGGGGCGUUCCGACCGGUCUGCCGAUGGGUAUGCACUGGCCGGAGUGUCCUUUUUGCCGGAGACCGUGCCUACUCUUAACUGAGCGGGGGCGGGAGACGGCACUUUUACUUUGAAAAAAUCAGAGUGUUUCAAGCAGGCAGCUCGCUCUUGCAUGGAUUAGCAUGGGAUAAUGAAAUAGGACUUUGGUGCUAUUUUGUUGGUUUCGAACACCGAAGUAAUGAUGAGAAGGGACAGUCAGGGGCACUCGUAUUCCGCAGAGAGAGGUGAAAUUCUCAGACCCGCGGAAGACGAACCACUGCGAAAGCAUUUGCCAGAGAUGUUUUCACUGA